rnacentral:lncRNA from 1 species
CACUCUCGGUCCAAUAAAAAGUAAUAUAACGUAUAGUAUAUAACAAGUCGACAAGGACAUGCCCGUUUACGGUGGAAAUAAAUAAAAGAGAGAUGGUGUAUCCUUGGGAUGAGGUCAUUGGAUUGGCUUAGUAUAAUUAUUACACUACCGCCGAGAAAUAAAUGCAAGUAGCGUGAAAGAACGUGUUCACAAAGACGACCGUGGCAAUACAUCCAAGGCAACAUGUAGAGCUAGCUAGAGAACUACACAUCAAAGUUGUUAGAAAGCUAUACGAUCACGGAAGACGGAAACCUUGCAACAAGGCCAAACGGGUCCUAGUUGGGGGACAUCCUUGAGAUAUUUGAACGCGGAUCCUUUUUGUUUCUUUCCUCCUCGUCCCUAUUGUGUGUGUAUACAUUUUUCACGACUAUUGUCGGGAGGCCAUGAUAAAACAUUUAAACGAGCCCAGAUUUGAGCCGUUUAGUAUAUGGUCACGGGUAAUCGACCUUCACCUCAACACACACAGUAGUCACGAAAUUUGUUUGGAUAUAUACUUUCAAUGGUUGUGAGCUGCUGUGUGUGUUCCGACAUUCAGCAGAGCUCGUUUGGCCUUUUGUGCGCUCACAACCUUGAGUCGAUCGAUCCAAUAUCAUCUGCCAGUCCCGCGGGAAAAUGAGCAGGGCAAUGUCUAUACAGACGUUUCCAAGUUCGUCUUACAAGUUCAACGUGUACGAAUUUUCCAUAAUUUUUCAUUGGUAGAAUGAGAAAAUAGUUUCGUACCGGCCAACCCACACAGGACAAGUCGUCUGAGCAGUUCAAGGGCAGUCGGCCAUGUUGGCGUGAUUUUCUUUUCAUGCGGCUGCUUUUAUCUCAAGGUCAGUUGCCCGUUGCGCUCCCGAUGCAGACAACAUAUUACAUUCCGGGGGGAUGAUGAUGACGACGACCGCGUUCAUUUUUCACUCACGGCCAAUUCACCGUCAGACAUUUUUGUUUUCGGCUGUAAAAUGUCGACCGACACGAAUUUUAUCAUUUCGCAGCCCUUGGAAUCAGAUCCAAUUCUGUCCAGGUUAUUUAACCCUCGUCCAAGGUUAAUGUGUCUUUGCAGCCCGCUCACGAAAUAUUGUUCAACAUGUUGUCCAUAUAAUCAGACGAUCCCCCUUGGCGUCAAGGACGUCUAUCAUUAGUUGAGGUACCCGUGAGGAUUUGUCUGCCGUUCCUUUUUGGCAUUGGCCGAUCAAUGACGCCAAGGUGACGGAUAUGAGCCAAAAUAACUUGUCAUCAUCAAAAACUUGCGCUCGUCCGAGUCUUGCAUGAAAGAUAACGUGUAUUGUUUAUUAUCUGGGCGAUUAUUACGAGACAAAAGGAGACGAAUAGAACAAUUUUUGGUGGUAAAAUCUGGAGCAAUGUCAUUGACAUUCGUCUACAAAAGAGCGCAGGAUGUGCUGCAGGCACUUUUCUUUUUUCUUCCUAACAUGUUUAAAAGUUGUGCUGAUGUCAGUAUACCAUUUUAUACCGGGAACGACCUUGGGAGACUAUAGUCCCGCCUCCCGCCACUCUCGGGCGGGAGCUAUUUGGCGUGCGGUAUCAAAGCCAAGGCCAACAACUUCUUCUUCUUUUCUGUCUUCUUUUUUAUUCUUUUUUAUUUUCCUUGUAUUCCGCAUCAUCUAAUAUAGGAAAAUCAAGUUUUCUCUAUUGUUUUUCUUUUUUCUUUUCUCCCUUUUGAGAAUGUUCAUUUGACUUGCUGCAACACUUUGACAAAAUUUAUCGAGUACGACUGCUGUUGUUGCCGACCAUAUUCGGGAAUUAUUUCAAGGGCGGUUGAAUUAAUAGCCCGUAAAAAGUAACUACAAGAAAAUGAGAGAGUUGACUGAACCGCCCUUUUUUUGCCUGUAGAAAUGGCCACAGAGCUAAAACGAAAGUCAUAAUACCUGUUCAGGUGAAUAAACUUACUCGACAGCGCAGGUGCGUGUUGGUGUGGAACGUUUAAAAUUAGGGGGGCAAACAAAAAAAAUUGAGACAAUUUUAUUUGUCAGGGUCUGGUUAUUUAUUUUUUGUUUUUUUUGCGUGUGAAAUAAUUUCAAUUUGUUUUUAAUUUUUCACUGGGAAAAGAUGGAUUCCAGGAACAUUUCAGGCUACGAAAACAUUUCACUCUUCUCCUUAUUAAAAAUGUGUUUAUUUUGUUUUCGGCCAUUUGCGGAAUCGGAUUUCAGAAAGAAAAAUUGUAAUGGUAAAGUUUGGUUGGAAUAUGUUUUUUAAUGAGCUUCUUAAUUUAUUUAUUCGUCAAGCGAAACCGUAAGUGAACCGAAAAAAAAGAAACGAUGACCUUUCGAACCGGAAAAUCCUUUUAUCAAUAAUAUAAAAUGUGCACACCAACUACACCAUCCGGUGGAUUUAUAAAAAAAUAAGACGAAUGAAGAAGACCAAAGGUGAGUAUGAUUUUCCACAAAAGGGUUACACAAUGUGGGCUCGAUGAUGGCGUAGGGAGAAAAAACAGAGGGGUGAGAGAGUGAAAGUGCCGUGGGGAGCAGAUGGCGGAUGGCGGAACACAUGGAUACCAGAAGCGGACACACCUUCCUUACCCGUCAUCUGAUCCAUCGCGCAGUUUUUGCGUGACCUACUUCAAUGGCAUUCAUUCCGGAAAGAAGAAAAAUAAAAUGGCGCGAUCCUUGAGAAAAUUGUGAAUUUGACCGGACAUAAAAGGAAUUGAAAACAAUAUCAUCCAUUCCGCCAGCCACAAGGUUAUUUGCUAGCUGUCUUUAUUCAGUUCCUCAUUUGUCGGUCAGGAAUUCAGUUCCGGUAUCCUUGCGUCAGUGCGGUUUUUAUUCAAGACACGCUGCGCCUUGUAGGGUUUUCCUACCCCCAAGCAAAGUUAUAUACUCUAUUAAUUGAGUGUUAACCUUCCAAGUAGGUGUGUCAUAGUAGUUACAAGGCUAUACGUUGAAUUAAAUUUUGAUUAUUCCAGAAGCGCGAUCAUCUUUUUAUUUUAAAAUUGGUCAACUGACGUGACGAAUGGCGCCGAUAGGUGGCCCUGAGGCGGUUCGCCCUUGAAAAUCGUUGUGUGUGUAAUCUAUCGACAAACCCAAAAAGAAACUGAAAGUUUUGUUUCUCACACACAUAGGUGCACACACACACACACAUAGAGAAGUGUG